GGUCACCUGGGUUGGGUGGAUGCACCUAACAGAUUUUGAGCGCCACACGAGUGGACGCCGGUUUUUUUUUUUUUUUUCUUUUCUUUUCCCUUUGCAUCUGUUUUGCUUUCGCUUCGCUAAUACAGCCCGACAGGCUUUUGAUAGAGCUCGAUCGGAAUGCUCAGAGGAGCCCGGAGCCACUGCCGAUUGUGGGUCUCCGGAGGACCCUCAGGGCUCUAAUUCUGAUUCGGAUUCGGAAGGCUCAGAAGAGGAGGUCGUCUUUGCUAAGCAUGACCCUCCUACACCGUUAAAAGAGGAACUUAGGGCUCGGGAAGAUAAAAAGGGGAACCAAACACCACCCUGCCCGAGCUACUCCGCCUUACGGGAGGAGCUUAAGCCCUUCCGCUCCUUGGCAAGUUCACGGUCCUUCCACCGGAGGGUAUGGUCGCGGCUUCCUUUUGAGUGUUCCGGUCUCCAUGCAUUCCCGGUAGCCCUUAGAAAUUAAACAACUUAAAACUAUCAAGGACGCAGUUUCAGCUUAUGGGCCCAAUGCGCCAUUUACCAUGGCGCUUUUAGAGGCAUUGGCAGGUCUGCUUUUAACUCCUGGAGAUUGGACCCAGCUGGCACGCGCCUGCCUCUCCCCCGGACAAUAUUUAGAUUGGAAGUCCUGGAAUGAGGAAUUCUGUGUAGAGCAGGCGGCAGCCAACAGGGAAAAUAACCAGAGAGAGUGGAACAGGGAUAUGCUAUUAGGGCGAGGAGCCUUUGAGGAAGAUCAAACUCAAUACCCUCGCCAGGUUUAUGAACAAAUUAGCCGCUGUGGCCUCCAGGCCUGGAGACGGCUGGCUGGAAAGGGAGAACAUACGGGUCACCUUACAAAAAUUAUACAAGGGCAGGGAGAGCCAUUUUCAGACUUUGUGGCCCGCAUGCUUGAGGCCGCUAACAGGAUUUUUCCAGAUGCUGAGGCGGCUCACCCUCUCAUAAAACAAUUGAUUUUUGAACAGUGCACUAAGGAGUGCCGUGAUGUCCUAAGAACUAACAAAAAUAGGUCCUUAGAAGAGUGGACAUGCCUGUGCCGUGAAUUGGGUGGCCACGGCCUAACGCCCAAAGGAAGAAUAUCAUUGGCGCUCUUUACCAUAAAUUUUUUAAACCUUAAUCAUAAAAAUCAUUCCCCUGCCAUGGAACAUAGCAAUCCGUCCCCAACCGACAAAGGGCUGGUGAGAUGGAAAGAUGUCCUUACAGGACAAUGGAUGGGCCCGGAUCCAGUGGUUAGUUGGACCUGAGGUGCGGUUUGUGUCUUCCCACAGGAACCAGGCUGCGAACCGCUGUGGGUCCCGGAAAGAUUGACGCGAGCAGUAAACUCCCCACCAGUUCCUGAUAAAGCACAGGAAGAUAAGCCCGCGGACACAAGUCAACUCGACCCUUCUGGGACCGACGCUCAGCGCCCGAGACCAUCUACAAACUAAAAUGUCUGGUUUGGAGCUUUUUCUAUUCUGUGGGUUCCUAUUAAUCACCCCUGUUCGCACAAAUUUGACCAACACUGUUAAAAAUAGCCAGUUUGUGGGAACGCGUCACCUCCUGGUUCUCCUGGCCCAACCUGACUACUUGGAUCCUGAUUGCCAUGGCCAUCCUAGUGGGGCUUGUGGUUAUUAAAUGCUUGUUAGAUCGCCUCAUACAAACUCAGCAGCAGGUUAAGAUCACAGCUAUGGCAGCCAUGCAAAUGGCAGCAGGUGACCCAUCAGGCCAGCAGGCCGCCGCAUAUCUCCUUCACAUUGCAGAACAUCAGCUAUAAGAGCUGAGUGGGCAAGCCAAUGACGGGUAAGACGGGAAAAGCCCUCCCAGUCAACCUAAGACAGGCUCCACUCAGAUAUAUAUGGCCUAUAAGGCCAGGGGUCCCUCCCGGAGUCAAAUUAUUGGCAUUGAGAUGCGAGACCAAGGGUACUGCAGUGCCAUCCGCCUCAAAGGUUGGGGGGAAGGCAGGAAUGAAUGUCUAUAUGCAUCCAGGUUCGGUUCACAAAAGCCUGGCCCUGCGAAAAAAUGAACCACUCACCUUGAGCAUGGUCCUGGUGCAAGGAUAUGCACAAAACAGGGUGAUGCACAGCAGGGUAUAGACCUCUACAUUCUCUCAUGCCUCGGCCUACAAGGUAGGCCCACUCCUAGGUGUCUAACAGCAACAAGGUCAUAGACACCUUGGAGGGACCUACAGACCAUCCUAUUUUAAUAAAUAAAAAAGGGGGAGAUGUGGGAAGCCGCCUAUGAUGGCGCCCAUUUCCUGCUUCCGGGUUCUUCCCGGCCUGAACAAGCCCGCCAAAUUGUCAGGUCUGCCCAGUUACCCGUGACGCUAGCCUAUCGGCUUGUUAGGCGCGCUUCUCUGUGAUUGGAUACUGCUUCCCCUUAUAAGAGGUUGUUCCUGCCCCCAACGGCGGAAGAGGAACCAACGUUGAGGGUGGCGGACCUUGUCAGGUCCGGUUCGCUGUACGUAAUAAAGUUUGAGAGCUGAUCCUGCUCGAGUUUGGUCUCCUGUCUCCCGCGGCUCCGGUCAGAGGUGACUGGAUGUGAGGUCCUGCCACUGACCAGGGAGGGCCCUUUGCUAACCUGGACUUUACUCGCAAAUGCACAAGUGGACCAGGGAGAAGGUCUGGGAGUCUGACCAAAGUCCGGACAAGCAAAGGACUCUGCCAAUACUGACAGUGCCAAACCCUCACCCUGAACCUUAAACCCUGACUAGCACCAAGGGUACGCAGCUCGGUCCUUUCACCGCCUCACUGGUGACAAGCCUUGGUGCUUUCUUAGAGGACUGGUGUUUGGAAGUAAUCCAAAGUGAUUCAGAACCAACUUCUGUGAAUUAAGAAAAUGCAGCUGAUUUCCCCGAUGUGCACGCUGUGUGGUUCUGACUGCAGUUUCAAGAGACGAAAUCCAAAAACUGUUCUAAGUGAGGCCCCAGAAGAGCCUCCUGCGUGGAUGAAUCAGGGCAGUAGCUUCGUGAAUCGUAGACAGCUUUCCAGUCAGCUUUCUCGUACCUUUUUCACAGCACUCACGAAUUCCAGGUCAUUCUGAAACAAGUGCCACAGAGUUCUGUGAAGACGACAGCUGCCGCUGCGUUUGUGUUUGAAGAGGUUGCUAUGGCUUACAGUGGUUGCAUUCGCUACCUUUACAACACUGUGACAAAAUGCCCCUCAGAAUCAACUUAAAAGGAAGAAAGGUUGAUUUGGGGUCCGGUUUCAGGGCUUUCACCCCACAGUCACUGCACCCUGGUGCAUCAUGAGCCCCAGCAGUGCACUGUGGUGGGGAGGAUGUGGCAGGAGGAGCUGCUCAGCACAGGACACCAGGAAGACGGAAAAGAAAGCCCGAAAGGGCUGGGUCUCUACGUCCUCUCCAGGGCAUGGCUCCAGUGACCUGACUCCCUCCCACGAGCCACACCUACUAAAAGUUUCACUGCCCCCAUCAGUAGCACCAGGCAGAGCCUUCCACACCUGGGCCUCAGGGAACCUGCCAGACCCAAAACUCAAGCAGUGUUUGUCACGGAGACCCGGCUUUCCAAAGGCUCUGGGACAUCGAUAUUCUCUCCAUCUCCUGCCAAGACCAGUUCUAAUUUAGCCCAAGGAUGAAGCUUAUGAAUCGCUAAGCACGGUGCACAUCUGUAAUCCCAGCACCCUGGAGGCUGAGGCAGGAGGUUACUGUGAGUUGGAGGCCAGCCUGAACUAUGGAGUGAGACCUUGUCUCAAAAUAAAACAAAACAAAAAACCCCCAGCAAAACAAACAAACAAAAGGAGCCACCAAGCAUGGCACUGAGGCAACUGUGUGAGCCAGACACAGGCGCUUCUGUCUGCACAGACCUCCAGCCCCCCAUUUCUGCCCAAAGACCAAAGCCAGCCGUCCGGAAUCAUUUCUCCCCAGAUAUCAGUGUACAACACUUCCCAGGGGUCACCGGCCCAUUUGGAGCACUUUCCUAGUCUUUCUGGUGACCAUCUCUCUUUUGCCUUCUUUUGACCUUUUCAAGAUGGUAAUUUGUUUUAGUUUCAAGGAAAUGGACUAACUUCAAAUUGUGUGAAUCAGAGGCCACUUGUUCAGAAAAGGCACAGGCGCCCCCUGGUGGGGACACACGCCCUUUCCGGCUCCCAGCAGAAGCUCUUCUGUGGCCAGAAAUCGUGGCCUGGAGCUCAGGGAAGGGAAGUCGAGAGUCCCCGGAAGACUGUGCGUCCAGCGAUCUGCUGUAUCACAGGGCUCCGUGGCGACAUCAUAGUAGGCCACGUUGGUGGCUGCUGGGUGUCACCAAACUGCGCUGGUCACAGCUGGAAAAAGGGCCUGGGGUCACCCGAUCAAAAUAAAGGCUCCUCCGAGAGAAA